GGCGCCUGCGCUAGAUCCUGUUCUCGGCGCCAUUUUGUCUCGGCAGCGGUGGCGGUAGCUCUUUCCCAUUUUAAGCUUCGCGAGGAGAGGAGUGGAGUCUUUACCCGGUUGAUUCGUUCUUGUGGACUAGGCGUUCACCUUCCGUCCCGGUUUUAUUGUAAAAAGUGUAGAUUGGGUGAACUUCAGAACCUUUGAAGAUUGUUGCAGAGAUAAUGGCAUUUUUUACAACCUGGUGGCUUGUCCAGGAUUCAAAGCAUCAGAUCAGAGACCAACCACCUGAAAGCAAAAUGGGUGCCCCUGCUGAUUUUCAGCGACUUCGUAGUCUGGUUGUGAUCCUUCUUCCCCUUAACCUUGAAUCCUGAGAAUUUGGCUUUCUGAAAAGGGUGACUAAACUAGUGAAAAAGGAAGGGGCAGCCAACCUAUGGAAGUCUGUGCACAGAGCAAGAUGUAUCCUGAACAUUUGUGGGGGAAAGUUAUCAAAGGCUAUUAGCCCUUAAAUCUGGAUCUAUCUUCAUACUGUUUCUUGGAAUGUUUCUGAUUUCUUUCCCUAAAAUGCCAGAACAUCUGAGCUUUUACUUUUAUAUGAAGAACAUGAAAACAAGAAAUUAUGCUGGACCAUCAAAGUCAACAGAACCAGAUUUUGAAUAUGUUCAGUCAUUGAAGAAAACCAUCAUCUUUUUUAAAGAAAGAAAUAAUCUUAUUCUUCCAAAUAGUUGAAAUGUAAAGAACACAUUUAUGUUUUCAGAAAAGUACAAAGGCUUGAAAUGCAAGAAAGUAAAUUCAAAUGUAAGGCCUGUUUAAAAUUCAGCAUUUAGGAAUGACAACAGAAAAGUCAUGUCAAGUAUUUAAAGAAUGAAUUGUAUAUUUAGUGAUUUCAAAAGUCAUACAACUACCAACCUCUGUGGGAGAGAAGUUAGCCCCCUUACUAAAAAAGAGUUUUCAGUACUAUUUACAAUGUAUUAAAAGGUUAUAGAACUUUAAUAUUGAGAGAGCAAUAGAAUUUCAAGAAAAAGUAUUAGAUAUGCAGGGUAUUGUUUACCUACAUAAUAUAAUACCUCAAGAGUAAACACAGAUGCCACAGUGGAUAGUGCAAUCAGGAAUAUGCAAUCAAAUCCUACCUCCUAUACUUAAACUAGCUGUGUGACCCCAGGCAAGUCAUUUAGUUUUGUCUCAUGUAAAAUAGGAUAACAAUGACAUCUAAAGAAUUUAUUUGCAGCCCAAUUCAGUCACCUACUAAAUGGGUAAUAUUUAUUGCUGUAAAGAAUUUGUAUUUUCAAUACAUAUUUUAUUUUCUUGUC
rnacentral:lncRNA from 1 species